rnacentral:rRNA from 1 species
AGCGAACGCUGGCGGCAGGCCUAACACAUGCAAGUCGAACGAACCCUUCGGGGUUAGUGGCGGACGGGUGAGUAACACGAGGGAACGUGCCUUUAGGUUCGGAAUAACUCAGGGAAACUUGUGCUAAUACCGAAUGUGCCCUUCGGGGGAAAGAUUUAUCGCCUUUAGAGCGGCCCUCGUCUGAUUAGCUAGUUGGUGAGGUAAAGGCUCACCAAGGCUACGAUCAGUAGCUGGUCUGAGAGGAUGACCAGCCACAUUGGGACUGAGACACGGCCCACACUCCUACGUGAGGCAGCAGUGGGGAAUCUUGCGCAAUGGGCGAAAGCCUGACGCAGCCAUGCCGCGUGGAUGAUGAAGGUCUUAGGAUUGUAAAAUCCUUUCACCGGUGAAGAUAAUGACUGUAGCCGGAGAAGAAGCCCCGGCUAACUUCGUGCCAGCCGCCGCAGUAACAC